GAUAAGAGCUCUCCGAAAAAAUUACGCUGUUAUCCCUAAGGUAAGUUAAUCUUAUAAUCAAAAAUUUUGGAUCAAAAAAAACAUAAAUUAAUGAAAAAAAUAAUAAAAGUUAUAUAAAUUUUAAUGUCACCCCAACAAAACUUUACAUUCUAAAAAAUUAUUUAAUAAACAAAAAAUAAUAAUUAAUAAAUAAAGUAAACUUCUAUAGGGUCUUCUCGUCCUAUAAAAAAAUUUUAGCCUUUUAACUAAAAAAUUAAAUUCAAAACAAUUAAAAAAAGAAAGAUUAUUUUUCAUCAAACCAUUCAUACUAGCCUUCAAUUAAAAGACAAAUGAUUAUGCUACCUUCGUACAGUUAAAAUACCGCAGCCUUUUAAUUAAAAAAAAUCAAUGGGCAGGCCUGAUCUUAAAUUAAAAUCAAAAGACC
rnacentral:rRNA from 1 species